rnacentral:rRNA from 1 species
UAUAUAGGUAACGUGCCCUAGAGAGGGGGAUAACAUUUGGAAACGAAUGCUAAUACCCCAUAUGCCUUUAAGUCUUAAGACUGCAAGGGAAAUAUUUAUAGCUCUAGGAUCGGCCUGUACGGUAUCAGCUUGUUGGUGAGGUAAUGGCUCACCAAGACUAUGACGCCUAACUGGUUUGAGAGGAUGAUCAGUCACACUGGAACUGAGACACGGUCCAGACUCCUACGGGAGGCAGCAGUGGGGAAUAUUGGACAAUGGGCGCAAGCCUGAUCCAGCAAUACCGCGUGUAUGAAGAAGGCC